rnacentral:rRNA from 1 species
GACGAACGCUGGCGGCGUGCUUAACACAUGCAAGUCGAACGUGAUUAUUGUGGAAAUUCUUUCGGGAAUGGAAAUGAAAUGAAAGUGGCGAACGGGUGAUUAACACCUGAGCAACCUACCUUACACAGGGGGAUAGCCGUUGGAAACGACGAUUAAUACCGCAUGAGACCACAGAAUCGCAUGUUAUAGGGGUCAAAGAUUAAUCGGUGUAAGAAGGGCUCGCGUCUGAUUAGCUAGUUGGAAGGGUAAAGGCCUACCAAGGCGACGAUCAGUAGCCGGUCUGGGAGGAUGAACGGCCACAUUGGAACUGAGACACGGUCCAAACACCUACGGGAGGCAGCAGUGGGGAAUAUUGCACAAUGGGGGGAACCCUGAUGCAGCGACGUCGCGUGGGCGAAGAAGGUUUUCGAAUCGUAAAGCUGUGUCCUAUGAGAAGAUAAUGACGGUAUCAUAGGAGGAAGCCCGGGCUAAAUACGUG